rnacentral:rRNA from 1 species
UACGUAGGGCGCGAGCGUUGUCCGGAUUUAUUGGGCGUAAAGAGCUCGUAGGCGGCUUGUCGCGUCGGCCGUGAAAACCUGCAGCUCAACUGCAGGCUUGCGGUCGAUACGGGCAGGCUAGAGUUCGGUAGGGGAGACUGGAAUUCCUGGUGUAGCGGUGAAAUGCGCAGAUAUCAGGAGGAACACCGGUGGCGAAGGCGGGUCUCUGGGCCGAUACUGACGCUGAGGUGCGAAAGCGUGGGGAGCAAACAGG